GCUUGCGCUCGGUGUGUAGUGUACAUACCCGAUCCCAUCCCGAGCUCGGCCGUGAAACACUCCAGCGCCUAUUGUACCGAGGCUUAAGCGGCGGGAGAGUCGGUCAGCGCCAGGG
rnacentral:rRNA from 1 species